AUGCUUCGUAGCAGGGGGCUCAGAGGACCCCGGCACCCCGGGCGAGAUCACUGCUUGCUGGAAGUCUCCGGGGCUGCUGACUUCUCUCCUAACUCCCAGCUCUCCUCUUGCUGCUCUGAGCAAGUCUGGGCUGGGAAGCCCGUCCAUGCCCCCCUGACCCCAUGCUCUCUGCUGCAGGCUGGCUUCUGCCUGGGCACCGCUCUGCACUCUUGGGGGCUGUGGUUCACGGAGGAAGGUUCACCGUCCACCAUGGUAAUUACCUCACACUUCCCUGGGGCCAGACCUGGAUGGGCCGUGGCCUUUUUCACCCCUCCCUGCUCCCAUCCCCUGGCUCAUUCCUGCCCAGCCUGUGGUUGGGGUGGGGGCAGGCUUAGGGCUAGGGUUAGUUUUGUGGCCUUGCUGAUGGGCACCAUGUCUCCACUCUUGGCCAGCUGGCGGGGAUUGCGGUUGGAGCCCUUCUGGCCCUGGUCUUGGCUGGUGUUCUCAUCCUUUUCACGUUCAGAAGGCUUAGCCCAUUUCGACAAGCACAGCCCACUCCUCAGUACCGGUUCCGAAAGAGAGACAAAGUGAUGUUUUACGGCCGGAAGAUCAUGAGGAAGGUGACCACGCUCCCCAACACCCUGGUGGAGAACACUGCGCUGCCCCGGCAGCGGGCCAGGAAGAGGACCAAGGUGCUGUCUUUGGCCAAGAGGAUUCUGCGUUUCAAGAAGGAAUACCCGGCCCUGCAGCCCAAGGAGCCCCCGCCCUCCCUGCUGGAGGCCGACCUCACGGAGUUUGACGUGAAGAAUUCUCACCUACCAUCGGAAGUUCUGUACAUGCUGAAAAAUGUUCGGGUCCUGGGCCACUUUGAGAAGCCGCUGUUCCUGGAGCUUUGCAAACACAUCGUCUUUGUGCAGCUGCAGGAGGGAGAGCACAUCUUCCGGCCCGGGGCGCCAGACCCCAGCAUCUGUGUGGUGCAGGACGGGCGGCUGGAGGUCUGCAUCCAGGACGCUGAUGGCACCGAGGUGGUGGUGAAAGAGGUUCUGGCGGGAGACAGCGUCCACAGCCUGCUCAGCAUCCUGGACAUCAUCACCGUGAGUCCCCGCUGCCUGGCCCUCAGAGCGCCCCUGGGUCAGCCCAAGAGGCCUGGUUUUCUCUGUCUUGCCUGGACAGCUGGCAGUGGUUAAAGGCCAGUUCUCUACAGUGACGUGAGGGGAGUGGGGUUUGGUCCAGGACGGAGGGAGGAAGGAGGAGGGAGC
rnacentral:lncRNA from 1 species